rnacentral:tRNA from 1 species
AGUCCGUGGGAGGAACG